rnacentral:misc_RNA from 1 species
GAUGAAGAACGCAGCGAAAUGCGAUACUUGGUGUGAAUUGCAGAAUCCCGUGAACCAUCGAGUCUUUGAACGCAAGUUGCGCCCGAAGCCAUUAGGCCGAGGGCACGCCUGCCUGGGCGUCACACGUCGUUGCCCCCCCAUCUACUCCUUCGGGAUUGCGGGGGGCGGAUGAUGGCCUCCCGUGCGCCACGCCGCGCGGUUGGCAUAAAUGCCAAGUCCUCGGCGACGCACGCCACGACAAUCGGUGGUUGCGAAACCUCGGUUGCCCGUCGUGUGCGGUCGUCGCGCAUCGAGGGCUCGAAAAAAUUGCCGGGUUCCGGCUCGGCUUUCAACGCGACCCCAGGUCAGGCGGGGUUACCCGCUGAAUUUAAGCAUAUCAAAGCGGAGGA